UUAUGUGUUUACAGAAAAGAAAAAGAAGAGCCAGGAGGAUGGGUUGUUCAGUUUACUACUGGAGACCUGUCUGUGACAGACCACCAAGAAAACAAAAUUUUCAAAGAGAGCAUCUGUAGCAUCUCUGAGUCUUUCCUUUUUUCUUCAGUUACAUAAGAUAACUUAGCCAGAACUUAUUGAUGACUGCAUGUUCAAUGGACUCAAGAAGGUAAUGGGAGAUGCAGGAAUGCAUUCUUUUGAAGGAACAGAAGAGGAGGCAUUUCAAAAAUCCUGCAGGUGACUGAGGAUCUCUGCUGGUGUCACCAGAACACUUGGAAAAUACCCUCAGGAUGCUAGAAACCAUUAAAGCAAUACAGAUUAUCAGAGGAUAAACUUCCACUUCAGCAGCCACCAGUACCAGAAGUGACCAACAAGAAACACUCAAGAAAUAAAGGAUGAAGAAUUGUCAUUCCAGGGAUAUCACAGAAAAAGUGCAAGGGUAUCUAGAGGUCAGUCAGACACUACCAAACUGAGGCAGGGCAGGCUGAUAAAUAAAAGGGAUAAAAGGAUAUUCUGAAAAAUACCAUCAGCUUUUAAAAGCUAAUUACAGAAAAAGCUAGCUAGUGUUACGUUCCUCCUGAGCCUGGAUGUAUUUUAAAAGUGGUGUGAUAGGUGUGGAAACAGCACAGUGGUUUGUCUGUGUUUUGUGUGCCAAAAUGUGUAAAAAAUUAAUAUGAUGAUUGUUUACUCAUUGCUGAGAACACAGCUUCCUUGCAGUGUAUACCAGAGGGAAGUGAAAUAUAACAUAUGUAAAGUAUGUCACUAUUUUCUAUGGGUGGGCAACAUCCGUCUGACAGGGAAGGGACUCAAUAUUAGAAUCCCCCUGAUUUUGAAAGCUACAGUUUCUAGUUAUUCUGUAAUUUUUUUUCCUUCCUUUUAGUCUGUUUCCAAUGCUCUAGCUUUUUUGCAUACCUGUAAAUCAAUUCUUGCAACAGAUAAUAGAAAUUAGAGAUGAUCUUGAACAAAAACCUCAGAGAAAAAGUAUAUCUGAAGUUUAAGGAAAUUCAUAUUUGCAUACCAAUUCUUCUUUAAAACAGUCUGUGGUAUAAAUGUUUGGUUCCUUCUCUAAAAUGUGAAGCUGUAGGAAAACCUGGCAACAAACAUUUUCUUAUAGAUGAUACCUAUUUUCAGUGAAAUUAAUGUGAUUGCUUGGUGUUUGCUGAAGAAUUUCCGUAUGGGUCAUAUUGCUACAGAUCUGACUGUAGGAACUUUCGUAGUGGGGAGCCCACAGUUCAGUGGCUGGGGCUGAGAAAUGGGAGCCACUGCUUGUUCAAGUCAAGGCUUGACUUUGCUACUGUAUGACUGGGGUACACAUAUAACCUCUUUAUGGUCAGUUUAUCUAGAGGCAAAACUGGGAUCUCACCCAGACUGAGGGCCAGGCUUUAAAUUGGAGGCUGCAGCUGUACAAGGACACCCUUGUUGUAUAGAAGAUAUGGGCAAAGGCCAUAGUUUGGAUGCAGCAUCCUUCAGUAAGCAGACAAAGAUACUCCUGUGCCAGUUCUGGAUGUGAGUCUUCAUUCCCUUAAGUCAUAAGAAUUACUCCUUCAUUUUCACUAGCAAAACAGUUGUCUAAAAACAUUGAAAUCUCAAGCUGAAGUUCCACCUACGAAAAAGACAUUGUUAAUUAGUGUGUUAAUUGUCAUCUAAACCUGUUUGCUUAAUGAAAUGUGAAAUAGCACCUACUGUUAGAAAUAUCAGUGUGCGCGGGAGUUUGUUCCAAGCACUUAGGGUCAUUUAUUGCUGUGCUGCAGUACAACCCAGGGCUGCUAUUUCAGCCUCUUGCCAAAACAGGAAUGUUUUCCUUUCUGAUGAGUCAUCUGGGUUUCACUCAGAUACAUUAAGAUUCCCCCACCCUGUUCUUUGCUGUAUCGUCCAGCCCCUGCCAUAGAGGCCUUGCUUUCCUGGCCAGCAUUCUCCAAGCUGCAAAGGACAGGAUGGGACCCUCUUCAGCAGCCUUCAGCUCCAUUCCUUAAUUAACUUGGAGGGGACUGCUGUUGAACCAUUUUCUCUGGCAUUGGGGCUCAAUAUGCAGCAUUGCUAGCCUUUUCUGGCCUGGGGUAUAACAGCAGUGUUGACAACUGACCUGGAGUUUACCACACAACUGUGCAAAAUGUUACCUGCAUCAAGCCAGAAAGGUCAACCACAGGAGGAAGCUGUGGAGGUUCUCCAUAUUGGUUGUAUAUACUCACAAACAACACAGAAGAGCUGUACACUUCAUGGAAGCAUUUCCUUACUUGCCUCUUUCUUUUUUCUUCCUUUUUUUUACUUUCCUCACCUCUCCUUCCAGUAUAGGACGGGGAUACAGGAAGUUUUGGAGAUUGUUUCUUUG